AGCUUUAUACAGCUGGAGAGUGUGUAAUACCAGCGGAGCUGCCUUUGAAUGCUCCUCUGCUAGUGGUACGAGGUGUGGAGGGGGCCCAAAUCAGCACAUAUGCAACAAACCUCACCCAAUGGGCUUUGUCCCUUGCUGCCCUGGUGUGGUUGAUGCCAUGUGUGCUUCCUCUCCUGCCUUUGCUUCACACUAUUUUUUGGUUUUAUUUCUCAGCAUGGGAUUUUGCACAGGUCAGAAUUUAUUAUUGUCUGUGGUCUUCCGCCAAACUUCUGCCUUUGCUCUUUCAUGGCAGAUAAGGCUGGGCUCUUACGAAAUGCCUCCAAAGGGGCACUGGCCCUGGUGGGUGCUUCCAGCCUUGUGCCUCUCCCCACAGGACACUGUGAGAUGCUGCAGCUGUGGCUGGCCCAGCAGCUGCAGCAAUGAGGACUGGGCUUUUGUGUCAUGCUGGUCUUUUUUUUACUUUCAUAUGCACUAACCGUCCUCCCUGCUAAAUUCUUCAGGAUGUGGGUUUCAUGGGCUUGCAUCCGUCUCUUUGGGUGCCUGAGAUCAGCAGCAAGGCUGAAAUGGAGACACCGAGCCUGGUCCUAAGGAACAGCAAGGACCAGAAGCUCCCAGGGCUGAUAUGGACUCUGUUGAGCAGUAGCCAAGCCUGUUAAUAUCUCCAUCACAAGCCUUCCUUGUUCUAAAACAGGGACGCUAAAGCCUCUUUGCCUGGGCAGGGAUGAAUUUCUCUGCUCCUGCUAAGUGCCAUGUAGAGCUCAGCAGGCUCACUGGGCAGUGUGCCUGAGACAGUGCCCACAGCCACAUUCUUGCAGGGCCUCUUGCGCUGUUGUGGCUCUGCCCAGCUCCGGGCAGAGCUGUGCAGUUGGAGGAGUGGGGAGUAGGAGAGGGCUGCUCCCACAAGUGGGGGUGUGGGAGUGAGUUACAGGUAGCAUUGACUGGGUCAGCAGUGUCCGGGCUUGCCUCUCCAGCGUCAAAGCUGUAUCACUGCCUUCUACCAAAGCCAGCACCCGACCUGCCGGUGCUUCCCUCUGAUUUCAUGUCAGCAUCACUCGGCUGAUAUCUGUAGCAUGUCGCAUCCUCCCAGAAUGUGAGGAGUGCAGCAGGGAGGCACGCCUGUCACCUUGCUGCAGAAACAGACUUGCCCUUCAGUAGGUCAGAAUCCUUGGCCAUGAAGCAGAUGGUAUAAGUAGGUGGGUGCUGUCUCCAGGGGCUCUAACACCUAUAAAUCCCCUCCCUGGCAAGGGCUGUUUCUCAAAACAGGAAAAAUAUACAAAACAAUCUUGUGCUUCUUAUCUACCAGUGUUAAACCUGGUUUUAUUGCUCUGUUUUUUUUUAAGGAGCCUUGCUAGGAAACCAAGAGGCAGUUUCAGGUCAUGAUGGGUAGGAACCUAUUUGCUUUUCUGGAGUUACAUGCACUCAGCUUAAUACUUUGCAAUAGCCAGUAGAGAUUGCCAAUGCAGAAAUCAAAAGACUUCCAUUAACUCUUGGUGCCUUUGAAAACAUACCUCUGAUAGUUAUGGAUGGUGAGCUUCCAGCCUCCUGCCUAAUUAUAGCUCAGUGGUAUAUUACAGGAAAUCAGAUCUUAAAUCAGAUCUUUCAGAUGCAAUUCCGGGCAGCGGGUGUGUUACCUUCACAUGCGAGCAAUGCAAUCCAGUCCUCUCCAGCUUGUGCCUGUUUUUCUUCACAGUAAGGAUCUUUGAGUUCGGGAGGAUUCUUUUUAUUCUGCUUUUUAAGUGAGAACAAUUCAGAAAAACUGGGAGCAGAUGGCCAUGGGCCAGUGUCCAGGCUCUUUCCGCAGCCCAGCUGGCUGGACUUAGGGGCCGGCUCUGCCUCCCUACCUGCUGCUUGAAUCGUUAAGUGCUGCAGCAUUUCCAGCUGGGAACCUGUGCCCUUCCCCAUGUCAUGGCAGCAAUGUCAAGGGAUGGCGCUGCUUGGUGCCUCCUCACUCUGAGUGUGGGUAUUUUGGGACCAGCGUUGGAUUUAGCAAGUACUUUUCAGUGGUUAUUUUUUCUCUUCCAUGUAAUACAGAGGGAAGAAUAUUCCUGAUGCCUCAGACUUACAUAAGGCAGUUUUGACGGCAGUUUGGCAGUUUAACUUCCAAAAUAAAUCAAAAUGUGAUGGCAAUUCCUACAUGAGACCCAAGAAUCAUGAGUGCCUUGAAAGGGAAAAUAAAUUAACAAAGCCAGUUCUGUCAAAACUGGAGCUGAAACUGUAUUAUUCAUUUAAGGGCAGUUUCACUUUUAAGAAGCUUAGUUUGUUUUAAUAAGCCAGGAUUGUGCUAAUAACACUACUAAAGAGCUUAUAUUUAAUGCUUUAAUCUGUCCCAUUCAAAUGGCACAAUUUGCACGCUACCUGCCUUUACGUUAGCACAUAUCCCAGCUAAAUCCUCAAUCCGGCAAAUGAGGCGCUGCUCUCUGCCUUCCGUCUGAUUGCAUUUGGAGUAAUUCUGUGGUUCAUUCUGCAGCACCGAGAAGGAAAUGGCUGAAUCCCAGUCGGUAUUUGUCCUCAGCCGGGCUGUGCACGCCCGGGUCUUUGCUAGGUCACCAAAGUGCUGCGUGACUUUGAAUGAGCUUGAUCAGGGCUUCUUCAUCAUCCUGCUCAUGUAGCAGGGAUGGCCCUUUUGUGAGUAAAAAGAGCUGUAAUUAGAGUCCUGCUCAAAUCUGUUUGGGAGUACUAGGUUUUUAAUGACCGCUGCCACUUGCUUCAUUAGGCAGGAAGCACCUGUGUGCUCCACCACCUCCUCUGAGAUGGAGCUAUCAAACCAGCUCUGCUGAGACUCGCUUGUGCUGGCAGCGCCUUUGAAGCAGCCCCUGGGCAGAAGGUCGGGAUUUCAGCUUCCUGAGAUCACACGUGUCUGGCUAAUGGGGUAUCCUCUCUGUCAGCUUGCAGGCACAGAUCGUUACAGGGAAAGCACAGAAUUUUCAUUGCACAUUGUCCCCGACAGCAGAAUAAGACUGAUUGCCACACACUGUUUUUCUCCGGUCAUUCAGGUUUGGGCUGUUUCACCUCUCGCCUUUUCUUUCCCUUAUUAAAGCUAGAAAAUGUCUGGGCAGCAUAGGACAGGUUCCCUUGCAAAAGGGGAGCUGAACGCUAAAGCGGGAUGGCUACUGAAGUCAAACCAUUUUCAAAGUUUUCUUUAGUAUAAUAACACAAAAGCAAUGGGACAAAAAUGCUUGAAAUUAAAAGAGACUGAAGUCUGAAAGGAGGGCAAUUCUGACAUGGCCUUUGUAAGCUGUGCCAAGAAGGGCUCCCAAUCCUGCUAAUAUAGUUGGCAGAAUCCUUGUAUUUUUCUGAGGCUGGAAUUUCACAUUGAGACUACUGUUUUGUUUCUGAACAUCUAUCUUUAUAUAAAACAACAUUUUUCCAUCAAAUCCAGGUCCUAGCAGGUUACUGUAGGAAGAAUAACCGGAUGGUUUCACCUGUGGACAUUCACAACCAAGACAGGAUGUUUUCCAUUACAACAGCUACCAAAUUAAUAGUUUGGAGGUAGUAUCCCCCCCGAUUUUACCCCUCUCAACUGCCUUUGCAGAGAAGCCUCAAUACCCUGCUGAAGCUCACAGGGAAUGCGCGGAGCUCCUGUGUCAGGGGCACCUUUCUGCGGCACCCAGCAGUUACCGGCAACACUACGAGCAACCUGCAGAAACACUCUCACCUCUUUGAAGUGCUUAUAUUUUAUGUACACAUGUAUCUUCCUAAGAGGCGGUUUUGCAUGCGCCUUUGUUUUACACGCGGAAAUUGUAUUUUGCAUUUCAAGACGUUUGUAUUUUAUGCCGUGAAGCCAAAUAAACCGUUCUGAUUUGUA